ACACUUUGCCAGAUUGUUGAACGUUGAGAAGAUUUCUUAGUGUUAAUGAUUCAAUCACUUGAUAGGAAGAUCUGAUGA